rnacentral:misc_RNA from 1 species
GAUGAAGAACGUAGCGAAAUGCGAUAAGUAAUGUGAAUUGCAGAAUUCAGUGAAUCAUCGAAUCUUUGAACGCACAUUGCGCCCGCUAGUAUUCUGGCGGGCAUGCCUGUUCGAGCGUCAUUUCAACCCUCAAGCACUGCUUGGUGUUGGGGACCGGCCGCUGCCUAACCGCCGCGGCCGCCCCCGAAAUAUAGUGGCGGUCUCGCUGUAGCCUCCCCUGCGUAGUAGCACACCUCGCACCGGAGCGCGGCGCGGCCACGCCGUUAAACCCCCCAUAUUUCUGAAUGUUGACCUCGGAUCAGGUAGGAAUACCCGCUGAACUUAAGCAUAUCAAUAAGCCGGAGGA